CUCGAUCACUUAAAACGACAUAUACUUUCCCAGUGGGGACCUGGUGUGCAAUGUUUGCAAACAGCUGCCUCUUUGUAGUGUAUGCAGCCUGUUGCCUGUACAGGUUGCCCUAAGAGACCUUGGAGACAAUU